UACGGAGGAUCCGAGCGUUAUCCGGAAUUAUUGGGUUUAAAGGGUGCGUAGGCGGCCAUUUAAGUCAGCGGUGAAAUUUUGCAGCUUAACUGUAACAGUACCUUUGAUACUGUUUGGCUAGGAUUUGGUUGUAGUGUGCGGAAUGUGUGGUGUAGCGGUGAAAUGCUUAGAUAUCACACAGAACACCGAUUGCGAAGGCAGCACACUAAGUCAUUAUUGACGCUGAGGCACGAAAGUGUGGGGAUCAAACAGGAUUAGAUACCCCU
rnacentral:rRNA from 1 species